UGCAAACAGCAGACUCAUCUGAAGAGAAU
rnacentral:piRNA from 2 species